rnacentral:lncRNA from 1 species
CAGAAAUACAGUAAUUCAUUAAACUUUUGCCUUAACGAAAGUUCUAAUUUUAUAAGUACACUUAGAUGUCUCUAAAAACCAUGAACCGCAUUUUUUCCCAGAGAACAUCUAUGUGUUAAAAACAUGAGAGUGCAUAUGGGUGUGUGUAUAUUAAUACAACUUGUGUUCUUUUGUACAUGUUUCAGAUAAGUGUCAGUCCGGUUGUCUUUUUAAACUUUAGCAUAUUUGUAUAUCAAUCCUAUUAUGCCAUAAGCUGAAUUCCUGUAGCUCUGUAUACAUUG